CGGGAUGUGGCGCAGCCCGGUAGCGUACUUGCAUGGGGUGCAAGGGGUCGCAGGUUCAAAUCCUGUCAUCCCGACAA
rnacentral:tRNA from 1 species